UCCUCUCCAUCACGUGGCCACCCUCCUCUCCUCUCUUUUCAGCCACCAACAACAAAGGGAAGAAAAGGAUCUUGGUGGCCUCCUUCUUCCUCCACUGUUUGGUUCCAACGCAAGGAAGAAAAAGAAGGCUGCAGGGCUUCGUUCCUCUUCUUCUCUUCAUCCUUCUUCUUCCUCCUCCCAAGCACAAUCAAGGAUUGAUUGAAAGGGAGAAUAUCAGCCAUCAAAGUUAUCUCUGCAAGGGAGCUAGCCCCCCGGGGAGAUAGAAAGCUUGGAUCGGUUUUCUGCUUCGUGUGGAUACCCGUAGAGGCCGGGCACUUGAACGGCUUCAAGCGAACCUUCAUCCUAAACCACGAUCAUCAGUUUGCGG
rnacentral:lncRNA from 1 species